UACAGAGGUGGCAAGCGUUGUUCGGAAUUACUGGGCGUAAAGCGCGCGCAGGCGGUUUCUCAAGUCAGUGGUGAAAGCCCGGAGCUCAACUCCGGAACUGCCAUUGAAACUGUGAAAGUUGAGGACGAGAGAGGUGAGUGGAAUUCCCAGUGUAGAGGUGAAAUUCGUAGAUAUUGGGAAGAACACCGGUGGCGAAGGCGGCUCACUGGCUCGUUUCUGACGCUCAGGCGCGACAGCGUGGGGAUCAAACAGG
rnacentral:rRNA from 1 species